UGAUCCAGUAACCGCUUGUGCUGUCGGUACAGAGCAGAACAACAGAGACGGUUCCACCUGAGGCGGUUCGGUUCUACCGGAGACGGUUCUACCUGAGACGGUUCGGUUCUACCUGAGACGGUUCGGUUCUACCGGAGACGGUUCGGUUCCACCUGAGACGGUUCUACCGGAGACGGUUCGGUUCCACCUGAGACGGUUCUACCGGAGACGGUUCGGUUCUACCUGACCCAGGCUUCAGAACCUGAACUUCCUGCAGCAGCUGUUAUAAUAAAACCGAUUCCUGGGAUUCCGAAGAUCUUUGAGAGUUUGAUGCCGACACCUGAACAUGUUGGCGAACCGUGUGAGGAGCUGGUUUCCUCCAUGCAGAGAGCAGGAGAUGACAAUCUGGUUCUGUUGGUGAUUUUUAUCAAAUCGAGUCGAGAUCCAGCAUCUGGAGACAUCUGAUGGUGGCGUUUCUCCACCGGCAGCCAUCCAACACCUGUCCGCUUUUAUCCACAGCACCAAAGAUUUUAGCUCCAAAUUAAAGAUUUAGCUCUCUCUAAUUAUAUUAGUUCUGUUAUCACCCCCACGCCACUAGAGGCAGUAUCAGGCCCGAAAAGAUGCGAUUUAGAUUUAGAAGUAAACAGAAAGCUACAGAAUUAGUUAAAAACUGUGAGCUGAGCUGAAGUAAA